AGUUCUAGGAAUUAUUGGACAUAAAGAUCUAGAAUUUUUCCUGCCCCAUGAGUAAUAUCUUAAAUGGCUGCGGUAUCCUGACCGUACAAAGGUAGCAUAAUCAAUUGCCUUUUAACUGGAGGCUAGAAUGAAUGGAAUUACACUGGUAAAGCUGUCUCAUUAUCAUUUUUUAGAAAUUUAUAUUUUAGGUGAAGAAGCCUAUAUUAAAUAAAAAGACGAGAAGACCCUGAUGAGCUCAAAAACCGAGACUAGUCUCGGUUUUUUUGGUUGGGGCGACUUUGGAGUAAAUAGAACCUCCAAUUUUUUGAAGUUUACGGAUUAAGAUCCAUUGUGUUAAGUAUGAAAAUAAGAUAACAUGAGUUACCACAGGGAUAACAGCAUUAUUUUUUCUGAGAGACCUAAUUGAAGAAAAGUUUAUGACCUCGAUGUUGGACUGAAGUAACCUUAAAAGCGCAGCCGCUUUAAAGGGAGUAGAAAU
rnacentral:rRNA from 1 species